UACGGAGGGUGCAAGCGUUAUCCGGAUUCACUGGGUUUAAAGGGUGCGUAGGCGGGCAGGUAAGUCCGUGGUGAAAUCUCUGAGCUUAACUCAGAAACUGCCAUGGAUACUAUUUGUCUUGAAUAUUGUGGAGGUAAGCGGAAUAUGUCAUGUAGCGGUGAAAUGCUUAGAUAUGACAUAGAACACCAAUUGCGAAGGCAGCUUACUACACAGUUAUUGACGCUGAGACGAGAACGUGGGGAGCGAAACAGGAUUAGAACUCCCAGUCAGU
rnacentral:rRNA from 1 species